AACGAACGCUGGCGGCAGGCUUAACACAUGCAAGUCGAACGCCCGUAGCAAUACGGGGUUAGUGGCGGACGGGUGAGUAACACGUGGGAACGUGCCUUUAGGUUCGGAAUAACUCAGAGAAACUUGUUCUAAUACCGAAUGUGCCCUUCGGGGGAAAGAUUUAUCCCAUUUAGAGCGGCCCGCGUCUGAUUAGCUAGUCGGGGGGGUAAAGGCUCACCAAGGCUACGAGCAGUAGCUGGUCCGAGAGGAUGACCAGGCACAUUGGGACUGGGACACGGCCCAAACUCCUACGGGAGGGAGCAGUGGGGAAUCUUGCGCAAUGGGCGAAAGCCUGACGAAGCCAUGCCGCGUGGAUGAUGAAGGUCUUAGGAUUGUAAAAUCCUUUCACCGGUGAAGAUAAUGACUGUAGCCGGAGAAGAAGCCCCGGCUAACUUCGUGCCAGCCGCCGCAGUAACAC
rnacentral:rRNA from 1 species